rnacentral:rRNA from 1 species
UACGUAGGCAGCAAGCGUUGUUCGGAAUUAUUGGGCGUAAAGAGUAUGUAGGUGGUGUCGUAAGUUUGGUGUGAAAUCUCCUGGCUUAACUGGGAGGGUGCGCCGAAGACUGCGAUGCUGGAGUAUGGGAGAGGGAAUCGGAAUUCCUGGUGUAGCGGUGAAAUGCGUAGAUAUCAGGAGGAACACCUGUGGUGUAGACGGGUUCCUGGACCAUUACUGACACUGAGAUACGAAAGCGUGGGUAG